rnacentral:rRNA from 1 species
UCUGAAUCUGCGUACGGCUCCGCAAACCAGUUGUAAACCAUAGCAGCGUUCCGCCCGGCUUCAGCAAUGGAGCCGGGCAUUAUAUGGAUAACCGUGGUAAUUCUGAGGCUAAUACAUGACACACAACCUGCCGGGCUGGGGGCAACUCCGGCUAGGUGGGGGACGUGCAAAAUCACAUUGCUAUAACAAAACCACGAAUGAAUGCACGUUCAGACCGCCAACCAACGGCAAGGGGGCUUCGGCUUCCGAACCGGGCGGCCCCUGCAACGGGCUUCUGACCUAUCAACUAGACGGCAGCGUAAGGGACAUGCUAUGGUAACAACGGUACAG